AUAGCACCUUUCAAAACCAAAAUGACUAGUUGUUUCCAAAAGAGAAAAAAACAAUACAACAUUUUUAAAAAGACAACAAAACAUUAGAAAAGACAAUACAACAUUAGAAACUUGCAGCAAUGAAACAUUCCAAAAGACAUUCUAAAAUAUUAUGCAAUUGCCAGUCUGUACAGGUGAGUUACUUAAAGCUUCUUCAUCUGAAGCACUGACUGACUCAAACAACAAGCAUGACACAUGCUAUGAUCUGAUAUUUUAGUCAUCAAGUUAUUAUGUAUAUCAUAUUAAAAGCUUUAUUGCAGCUAAUGACUACAAUACUAAUAGCUAACGGGCUGAAUGUAUUUCUGAAUAUAUUUUGAUAUUCCUAAAUGAAUUAAAUUAAUCAGUUAGUGUCUUUCAGUACUUGGACAUCAUGAUCUUUUCUUAUGGACAACCCACCCAUCUCUGUAUUUCGCUGAACUUUUGUAAGAAGCCACAUGUAGUAGAAAACCACUUCCACACUCUAAUAACACAGAAGUGACCAUAUAGUCCUCUGAUUUAUUUCCCAAAAGUCUCCAAAUGCCUUUAUUUAGAUGUAAAAAAAAAAAAAAAAAAAAAAAAAAGCACUCUCUGAGUCAUAUACUGUGUAUGUGAGCAUUGUCUCUGAAGAAUGAAUUCAUGGUCCAGCACAGAAUCUUGCUAUUAACUUAGUAUGUUCUAUAUACAUUAGUAAAUCAUUUUAGUGAAUACUUUUAAGGAUGAGUAAGCAUGCAGUGAGUAAACAUUGUGGUAAAUUAAGACAAUGGACUCAUAAUCUACAAAGAUAAUGGCUGACCUCAUGUAGCACUUGUGGACUGAAUGUCAACAUGUAUUAUAUGUCCUCAAACAAAAGAUUUUUAGAGCCAACUCACUAUUUAUGUCACAGCCAUAGCUUAAGGCUGUGGCUGUGGUAGUGCUCUCUCCUCCCUCGGCCCUGCUCUCUCUCUCUCCUAGGUGUGUUCGUGGUGAAGCUGGCAGCAGGUGUGUUGCAUGAUAAUCAGCAGAUGAGCUGCAGGUGGGAGCUGGGUGAUUGGUCUCUGGGCGUCUCCACAGAAGUAGACUGCAGCAGUCAUUCAAAGCUGGAGCGUUGUCUAAUCUCCAUGAAAGCUGACUCCUGCCUGCUGGUUCUGGAAUCUUCUAGCCUGCUGGUCCUCUGCUCUGCCUUGGAUUCUGUUCUGAUGGAGGAUUCCACCUCUCGCCAGCUUCGUGCUGGGAACCACAGGCUUCAUCUGGACGGAACACUCUGGGAGAAAUACCUACUUUCUAUGAACUCUUGGACACCAACAACCUUCCAUGUGUUGAGUUCCUGAAAAGGGAGAGAGCUGAGAAAAGCCAGGCCAAGGACUGAAUUCCUACUCGUCACCUAAGUUUCCAAGCCUUGGUAUCACCAGACUAUUCGUAUAACAUUUUGUACAUCGAAUUUUACAAUCUGCGUUCUGUACUUAAUAUUAUUUGUUUUAUGCUUUGCAUAAAAUAAUUUUUUAGUCUGGGGAUCUUUGUUCAGGAUUAGAGUCUAGGCUGGGUUAAGUUUUUGUCUUUUCAGUUGUUCUCCUGCCUUGGUUAUACCAUACGUGGGUUAACCGUAGUUUAAGUUCUCAUCCUCGUGUAGUUCUCCUCCGUACCACUAGAUGGUUUUUGGUUUUCUUGUUUUAGUUUAGUUCCUGAGUUUGAGUUCUAUUUCCGGUUCCUGUAUUAAUUAUCUUGUCGUAAAUAAAGCAUCGCUAAAACGUC